GGGGAAUAUUGGACAAUGGGGGGAACCCUGAUCCAGCCAUGCCGCGUGUGUGAAGAAGGCAUUUUUGUUGUAAAGCACUUUAAGCGAGGAGGAGAGUACUCCUGUUAAUACCAGGAAGUAUUGGACGUUACUCGCAGAAUAAGCACCGGCUAACUCUGUGCCAGCAGCCGCGGUAAUACAGAGGGUGCGAGCGUUAAUCGGAUUUACUGGGCGUAAAGCGUGCGUAGGCGGCUAAUUAAGUCAAAUGUGAAAUCCCCGAGCUUAACUUGGGAAUUGCAUUCGAUACUGGUUAGCUAGAGUAUGGGAGAGGAUGGUAGAAUUCCAGGUGUAGCGGUGAAAUGCGUAGAGAUCUGGAGGAAUACCGAUGGCGAAGGCAGCCAUCUGGCCUAAUACUGACGCUGAGGUACGAAAGCAUGGGGAGCAAAC
rnacentral:rRNA from 1 species